GCUCCCAUAGCUCAGUCGGUUAGAGCACCACGCUUAUAACGUGGGGGUCGUCGGUUCAAGUCCAACUGGGAGCACAA
rnacentral:tRNA from 1 species